AUAUGUGAAGAAAGACAGGUGGCCAACAAUCUCCCUGUGUGUUUUGUUUAGGAUGAAUGUGAGGGACAUGUUAAGGGAAAAUUUAUUGGUAUUAGAUUUAAUCUUUUUCCUAGUCCUGCAACCAAAACCGAUAACGGUAAAGGAGACUAAAAUUAUGUAUCUCAAGUGCAGCCUGCGGUUCAUGUGCAAGGUCAAGAACCUUUAACUGCUUCCAUGUUGGCAUCUGCACCCCCGCAAGAGCAAAAGCAAAUGUUGGGUGAACGGCUGUUUCCUCUUAUUCAAGCCAUGCACCCUUCUCUUGCUGGCAAAAUUACUGGCAUGCUGUUGGAGAUUGAUAACUCAGAAUUGCUUCACAUGCUUGAGUCUCCAGAGUCUCUCCGCUCAAAGGUCGAUGAAGCUGUAGCUGUACUACAAGCCCACCAAGCGAAAGAGGCUGCCCAGAAAGCAGUGAACAGUGCCACUGGUGUUCCAACUGUCUAAAUUGAUCAGGGACCACGAACAGAAACUCGUGCUUCACCGAAGAAAAAUAUCUUAAACAUCGAAAAAUUUAAAUAUUAUGAAAAAAACAUUGCAAAAUAUAAAAUAAAUAAAAA
rnacentral:lncRNA from 1 species